UACGUAGGGGGCUAGCGUUAUCCGGAAUUACUGGGGCGUAAAGGGUGCGUAGGUGGUUUCUUAAGUCAGAGGUGAAAGGCUACGGCUCAACCGUAGUAAGCCUUUGAAACUGGGAGACUUGAGUGCAGGAGAGGAGAGUGGAAUUCCUAGUGUAGCGGUGAAAUGCGUAGAUAUUAGGAGGAACACCAGUUGCGAAGGCGGCUCUCUGGACUGUAACUGACACUGAGGCACGAAAGCGUGGGGAGCAAACAGGAUUAGAUACCCCGGUAGUCCCUGAGCGGG
rnacentral:rRNA from 1 species